GUUGUCUACGUUAUCUCUACCAAACCCACGGGGGCGCUCUUAAGACCUAAACUGCCCUACACACUGGAACAAAAGUUUUAAAAGAUAAAAUUUAAACAACGGACUUUUGGUUUUCCGCUCGAGGAAAAGCGCAGCGAAUGCGAGACCUAGUGUGAAUUGCAGCCUCGUGAAACAUCGAGUUCUUGAACGCACAUUGCGCCCGUCGGUGUUCCGGCGGGCAUGCCUGUCUGAGCGUCUUUCCUUCUUGUGCACCGGGGUCUUUGCAGAUUCCUCUCUGCGCAGAGCUGGCCGUGCCACUGGCCCGGCCGAAAAGAAACGUUGCGGACGAAGCGAACUACAUCGGGACGCUUUGGCCGCCGAGCGAAAAAAAAACACCAUUGAGCUCGACCUUAGAGCAGGUAGGAUACCCGCUGAACUUAAUCAUAUCAAUAAGCGGAGGAUGUGGUGAUGAACGACACUUUCCACGAAAGUCCGUUUGAAAUGAAUUGGCACGAGUCUUUCGACAGAUUGAUGCUAUGAUUUCAAUGUAUUACGUUUACUCGUUCUUGAUUGUAAUAUUGGGCUGUUGGAGUUAUGGGCAAUGCCCCACGUGAAUUACCUUAUAGAUUGACUUGAACCAGGGUGGACUGCCCGCUGGUGUUAACCUCGUCCCUACUGGGAGGGAGGUCCUGCACACAAUUCCGCCUAAAGUUUUGCGGGCACUGGGCCUUCUAAAGAAACUUAGCGAUUGAAUGCACUACAUUCGUGACGCUUGGGCACUCUAUCGAAAAAAAAACACUAACUGUUCGCUCUUCUAUAUCAAGGUAAGGAGUGCCCUUUUGAACUUUGUGCGUAUAAAUACGGCCGGGAGGGAAGACUUACUACACUCAAUUAGCGUAUU
rnacentral:rRNA from 1 species